rnacentral:rRNA from 1 species
CUACGGGGGGCUCCAGUGGGGGAUAUUGCACAAUGGGCGAAAGCCUGAUGCAGCAACGCCGCGUGGAGGAUGACGCAUUUCGGUGUGUAAACUCCUUUUAUAUGUCAAGAAAAUGACGGUAGCAUAUGAAUAAGCACCGGCUAACUCCGUGCCAGCAGCCGCGGUAAUACGGAGGGUGCAAGCGUUACUCGGAAUCACUGGGCGUAAAGGACGCGUAGGCGGGUUGGAAAGUCAGGUGUGAAAUCCUACAGCUUAACUGUAGAACUGCACUUGAAACUUCUAAUCUAGAGUAUGGGAGGGGGAGAUGGAAUUAGUGGUGUAGGGGUAAAAUCCGUAGAUAUCACUAGGAAUACCUAAAGCGAAGGCGAUCUCCUGGAACAUUACUGACGCUAAGGCGUGAAAGCGUGGGGAGCAAACAGGAUUAGAUACCCCAGUAGUC